GCCAUCAGUCGCCAUUUGCUAGUUCAUUGUCGUGUGUGAAACUUGUUGGUGUACAUCUGACGGGCGAAAUAUUGGACACAUCAGGCAGAAUUGGGAAGCACAAGUUGUGAACAAGAUAUUGUAGUGUCUUUGCCAUCGUUCUCUCAUCUCCAUGCCAGAUGGCCAUUAAGAAGGAUCAUAAAUGUGUGCUCUCCCAUAGAAUGUGACGUAACUUCUGUUACAAUUACGUGGGACCUAGAACGCAGACACUCUACCGGUAACGAACAUACAACGAAAAUACUUCAC